rnacentral:rRNA from 1 species
GGCAACCCUGACGGAGCAAUACCGCGUGCGGGAGGACGGCCUGUGGGUUGUAAACCGCUUUUCUCAGGGAAGAAGACCUGACGGUACCUGAGGAAUCAGCAUCGGCUAACUCCGUGCCAGCAGCCGCGGUAAUACGGGGGAUGCAAGCGUUAUCCGGAAUUAUUGGGCGUAAAGAGUCCGUAGGUGGUUCAUCCAGUCUGCUGUUAAAGCGUGCAGCUCAACUGCAUAUAGGCAGUGGAAACUGUUGAACUAGAGUAUGGUAGGGGUAGGGGGAAUUCCCAGUGUAGCGGUGAAAUGCGUAGAUAUUGGGAAGAACACCGGUGGCGAAAGCGCUCUACUGGGCCACAUCUGACACUGAUGGACGAAAGCUAGGGUAGCG